ensembl:lncRNA
AAUCCCAUGGACACAGGAGACUGGCUGGCUACAGUACAUGGGGUUACAAGAGUCAGACAGACUUAGCCAUUAAACAACAAGUCUUCAUUAUACUCCUCAAAAUGAACAUUUUAUUUGAAUUGAAACAAUGAAGUCAAACUGUUUCUGACAGAAAGUAAAUCCAAUGGGGCUGAUUUGGCUAGUCUGAUGAUGAAAACAGUUACUAGGUUAUAAUAACAAAUAUUUCCUAUAUUUGACAGUUUCAACUUUAAUGAACUGUUUUAUUAGCUGCAAAGUUCUGACAAAAACAAAACUGAACCACCUGUAACCAAAAAAAAAAGCAUUUUAUCCAGAACUACUUAUGCAAAUGAGCCAUGUUUAGAUAUUUCCCAGUUUGACUAUUAUCAGGUUAAACAAGGCACAUACAUCUCAUUUCUUAAAAAUGUCUAAUUCAUAGUCACUUCAUGUCACUUUUUGUUUUUUGUUUUUUUUAACUGCUUGCUGCUUUUUAAACUGCUUGUCAUUUGAUGUAUUGAUAAAGCCUAUCUGGUAUAUUUUCCAGAAACUGAAAAAAUGGACAAAAUAAGGACUAGGUAACCCUUUGGCAAGUUGGGUGGUUUUCAAGUCUUGACUUUCAGCAAAAUUGAAAUAGGGCCUAACUGAAAAAGCUCGCAAAGAUCAUCAAAUUUAAUUUGUUGAGAUCAAGAACUGAGUGAUACCACUAUAAUAAAACUUUGUUUCCAGGUACAGUACAUGUUUAUAUGAACUCAAUUUCUCAGGUCACACAGCUACAGAAACUAGAAAUAUGAAGAAAACUGUUGCUCAGUCCUUCCCAUUCUAGCAGUAAGACAUAUUCAUCCAUAGACUUAUGGGUUUUAAAAAGCAACAAUAUCCAUUUCACCAAAAGAUGUACUUUCCCAUAACUUUAACAUUUUAUCAACUAAUUAUAAACAUGUACAAUAUUCACUUUGCUUUCAGUUCAGUCGCUCAUUUACCGCUGUUCCGAAGACUGGGUGAAUUCAUGCAUCUAAAGUAAAUGCCACGCCUGGCACCUAGCGAGCGUGCUUUAUAAGUAUUACCAAAUGAUCAAACUAAUCAAAAGUAACACCCGGGGGGGAAGGGGUCUGUCUUCCCGCGUAGCAGGGAGGCGCUGGAGGGAUCGGUUUCUUGGCCACAGAUCCAACGGAGGAUGCUCCAGGGAAAAAGGGGAUGGGGCGGGCAGCUGGGAGGUCACAGGCUGAGAACGAGGAGGUCUGGGAGAGUUAAGAGUAAGCAGUUCUACCCACGCGUUUGCACGGGAAUGUCUACGGAUCUCAACCGCUCUGGAAAACAGGAACAAGAGCGUCAGGCCUGAAAGCCACCGCGAUUGGAACCCGUCC